AAUAAUUAAUAUUAUUUCCCUCUUGAAAUAACAAACAAAUAAUUCUACUUUGUGCGUCUUUGGUACAAGGUAUUGUUGUUUCAAGGGUUUUUUGCUUGCGGCAUUAUAUAAAUUGUUAAUAAUUGCUAAUAACAAAUUCUCAACAUUUACAAUUAAAAAGUCAUACUAAUUCUUAACGAAAAUUCAAUCACUUUUAAUUUAUGCAUUGGACUGUUUUUUUUUUUACUAAAAGCAUAGUUUACAGGUUCAUCUCUGAUGUUUUGUAGUGGUAUGCGAUUUCUAAUUUUUUAAUUUUUCGAAUAUAGAAAAAAAUAAUCAAUUAUCAACUAUCAAUUUUUGUUUUACUAUCCAAUAUUAAAUGGAUACUAACAAUUGGGUCA